UACGUAGGGUGCAAGCGUUUGUCCGGAAUUAUUGGGCGUAAAGAGCUCGUAGGCGGUUCGUCGCGUCGGCUGUGAAAACCCGAGGCUCAACCUCGGGCCUGCAGUCGAUACGGGCGGACUGGAGUUCGGCAGGGGAGACUGGAAUUCCUGGUGUAGCGGUGAAAUGCGCAGAUAUCAGGAGGAACACCGGUGGCGAAGGCGGGUCUCUGGGCCGAUACUGACGCUGAGGAGCGAAAAGCGUGGGGAGCGAACAGG
rnacentral:rRNA from 1 species